rnacentral:rRNA from 1 species
GACGAACGCUGGCGGCGUGCCUAAUACAUGCAAGUCGAACGAACCGCGACUAGGUGCUUGCACUUGGUCAAGGUGAGUGGCGAACGGGUGAGUAACACGUGGGUAACCUACCUCAUAGUGGGGGAUGACAGUCGGAAACGACUGCUAAUACCGCAUAGGACAUAGGAUCACAUGAUUCUGUGAGGAAAGGUGGCGCAAGCUAUCGCUAAGAGAUGGACCCGCGGUGCAUUAGCUAGUUGGUAGGGUAAAGGCCUACCAAGGCGAUGAUGCAUAGCCGACCUGAGAGGGUGAUCGGCCACAUUGGGACUGAGACACGGCCCAAACUCCUACGGGAGGCAGCAGUAGGGAAUCUUCCGCAAUGGACGCAAGUCUGACGGAGCAACGCCGCGUGAGUGAAGAAGGUCUUCGGAUCGUAAAGCUCUGUUGUUAGAGAAGAACAGCGCAUAGAGUAACUGUUAUGCGUGUGACGGUAUCUAACCAGAAAGCCACGGCUAACUACGUG